rnacentral:rRNA from 1 species
UACUCCUACGGGAGGCAGCAGCCACAAGCGGUGGAGCAUGUGGUUCCUACGGGAGGCAGCAGUGGGGAAUUUUGGACAAUGGGGGCAACCCUGAUCCAGCAAUGCCGCGUGAGUGAAGAAGGCCUUCGGGUUGUAAAGCUCUUUUGUCAGGGAAGAAACGGUGAGGGCUAAUAUCCUUUGCUAAUGACGGUACCUGAAGAAUAAGCACCGGCUAACUACGUGCCAGCAGCCGCGGUAAUACGUAGGGUGCAAGCGUUAAUCGGAAUUACUGGGCGUAAAGCGUGCGCAGGCGGUUAUGUAAGUCAGAUGUGAAAUCCCCGGGCUCAACCUGGGAAUGGCAUUUGAGACUGCAUGGCUAGAGUGUGUCAGAGGGGGGUAGAAUUCCACGUGUAGCAGUGAAAUGCGUAGAUAUGUGGAGGAACACCGAUGGCGAAGGCAGCCCCCUGGGUCAAGAUUGACGCUCAUGCACGAAAGCGUGGGGAGCAAACAGGAUUAGAUACCCUGGUAGUCCACGCCCUAAACGAUGUCUACUAGUUGUCGGGUCUUAAUUGACUUGGUAACGCAGCUAACGCGUGAAGUAGACCGCCUGGGGAGUACGGUCGCAAGAUUAAAACUCAAAGGAAUUGACGGGGACCCGCACAAGC